rnacentral:tRNA from 1 species
GCCUUCGUGGUAUAGUGGUCAGCACGCUCGACGCGUAACCGAAAGGUCCGUGGUUCGAUUCCCGGGGAAGGCA